GGAGAGAUGCCGGAGUGGUUGAACGGGACGGUCUCGAAAACCGUUGUGCGCAUUAGCGUACCCAGGGUUCGAAUCCCUGUCUCUCCGCUA
rnacentral:tRNA from 1 species